rnacentral:rRNA from 1 species
UACAGAGGUCUCAAGCGUUGUUCGGAUUCAUUGGGCGUAAAGGGUGUGUAGGUGGCGCCGCAAGUCGGGUGUGAAAUCCCACGGCUCAACCGUGGAAGUGCACUCGAAACUGCAGGGCUAGAGUCCUGGAGAGGAAGGUGGAAUGCUUGGUGUAGAGGUGAAAUUCGUAGAUAUCAAGCGGAACACCGGUGGCGAAGGCGGCCUUCUGGACAGUGACUGACGCUGAGACGCGAAAGCGUGGGGAGCAAACAGG